rnacentral:rRNA from 1 species
AUUGAACGCUGGCGGCAUGCCUUACACAUGCAAGUCGAACGGUAACAGGUCUUCGGAUGCUGACGAGUGGCGAACGGGUGAGUAAUACAUCGGAACGUGCCUAGUAGUGGGGGAUAACUACUCGAAAGAGUGGCUAAUACCGCAUGAGAUCUACGGAUGAAAGCAGGGGAUCGCAAGACCUUGUGCUACUAGAGCGGCCGAUGGCAGAUUAGGUAGUUGGUGGGAUAAAAGCUUACCAAGCCGACGAUCUGUAGCUGGUCUGAGAGGACGAUCAGCCACACUGGGACAGAGAUACGGCCCAGACUCCUACGGGAGGCAGCAGUGGGGAAUUUUGGACAAUGGGCGCAAGCCUGAUCCAGCAAUGCCGCGUGCAGGAUGAAGGCCUUCGGGUUGUAAACUGCUUUUGUACGGAACGAAAAGCCCCGGGUUAAUACCCUGGGGUCAUGACGGUACCGUAAGAAUAAGCACCGGCUAACUACGUGCCAGCAGCCGCAGUAA